rnacentral:rRNA from 1 species
CAAUAGCGUAUAUUAAAGUUGUUGCGGUUAAAAAGCUCGUAGUUGGAUUUCUGCUGAGAACGACCGGUCCGCCCUUUGGGUGUGUAUCUGGCUCUUUCUUGGCAUCUUCUUGGUGAACGUUGCUGCACUUGACUGUGUGGAGCGCUACCCAGGACUUUUACUUUGAGGAAAUUAGAGUGUUUCAAGCAGGCAUACGCCUUGAAUACAUUAGCAUGGAAUAAUAAGAUAGGACCUCGGUGCUAUUUUGUUGGUUGCGUACCGAAGUAAUGAUUAAUAGGAACAAUUGGGGGUAUUCAUAUUUCAUUGUCAGAGGUGAAAUUCUUGGAUUUAUGAAAGAUGAACAACUGCGAAAGCAUUUACCAAGGGUGUUUCCAUUAA